rnacentral:ribozyme from 1 species
AUGAAAAGGGAGACCAAUCCGGAGAGCGGCAAGCUGCUCUACUAUGUGGAGUACGUCGACGAGGAGAGGAAGAGGGAGCACCAAGCGUUCCGGUCCCAGGCCGUUGUUGUAGAGA